CAAACAGGAUUAGAUACCCUGGUAGUCCACGCCGUAAACGAUGUCGACUUGGAGGUUGUGCCCUUGAGGCGUGGCUUCCGGAGCUAACGCGUUAAGUCGACCGCCUGGGGAGUACGGCCGCAAGGUUAAAACUCAAAUGAAUUGACGGGGGCCCGCACAAGCGGUGGAGCAUGUGGUUUAAUUCGAUGCAACGCGAAGAACCUUACCUACUCUUGACAUCCAGAGAACUUUCCAGAGAUGGAUUGGUGCCUUCGGGAACUCUGAGACAGGUGCUGCAUGGCUGUCGUCAGCUCGUGUUGUGAAAUGUUGGGUUAAGUCCCGCAACGAGCGCAACCCUUAUCCUUUGUUGCCAGCGGUUAGGCCGGGAACUCAAAGGAGACUGCCAGUGAUAAAUUUGAGGUUGUUGGGUACGACGUCAAGUCCUCAUGGCCCUUACGAGUAGGGCUGCACACGCGCUACAAUGGCGCAUACAAAGAGAAGCGACCUCGCGAGAGCAAGCGGACCUCAUAAAGUGCGUCGUAGUCCGGAUUGGAGUCUGCAACUCGUCUCCAUGAAGUCGGAAUCGCUUGUAAUCGUGGAUCAGAAUAGCACGGUGAAUCCGUUCCCGGGCCUAGUACCCACCGCCCGUCACACCAUGGGAGUGGGUGC
rnacentral:rRNA from 1 species